UACGUAGGGUGCAAGCGUUAAUCGGAAUUACUGGGCGUAAAGCGUGCGCAGGCGGUUAUGUAAGACAGAUGUGAAAUGCCCGGGCUUAACCUGGGAACUGCAUUUGUGACUGCAUGGCUAGAGUUUGGCAGAGGGGGGGUAGAAUUCCACGUGUAGCAGUGAAAUGCGUGAGAUAUGUGGAGGAACACCGAUGGCGAAGGGCAGCCCCCUGGGUCA
rnacentral:rRNA from 1 species